CACGUAGAAGACUAGUGUUAUUCAUCUUUAUUAGGUUUAAAGGGUACCUAGACGGAAAAUCAAGCCUAAUAGGGACUAAUUUUCUAGAGUUUUAUGAGAGAAGGGGGCGAAUUUCCGGAGGAAAGUUGAUAUUUUGUGAUACUGGAAGGACGGGUAACGGCGAAGGCAACCUUUUAUGUAAAAACUGACGUUGAGGGAGAAGCCUUGGGUAACGAGAAGG
rnacentral:rRNA from 1 species